AGUUUAAAGCCGUUUAAAGUCACAGAAUAUAAGUUAAGGCACCGAUAGAGGCACAAUUCUUACUGACGGCUGACGUGUGUGUGUGUGUGUGUGUGUGUGUGCGUGUGU